UACGAAGGGGGCUAGCGUUGCUCGGAAUUACUGGGCGUAAAGCGCACGUAGGCGGGUCGUUAAGUCGGGGGUGAAAUCCUGGAGCUCAACUCCAGAACUGCCUCUGAAACUGGCGAUCUUGAGUUCGGGAGAGGUGAGUGGAACUGCGAGUGUAGAGGUGAAAUUCGUAGAUAUUCGCAAGAACACCAGUGGCGAAGGCGGCUCACUGGCCCGAUACUGACGCUGAGGUGCGAAAGCGUGGGGAGCAAACAGG
rnacentral:rRNA from 1 species